UACGUAGGGUGCAAGCGUUGUCCGGAAUUAUUGGGCGUAAAGAGCUCGUAGGCGGUCUGUCGCGUCGGCUGUGAAAACCCGUGGCUCAACCGCGGGCCUGCAGUCGAUACGGGCAGACUAGAGUGCGGUAGGGGAGACUGGAAUUCCUGGUGUAGCGGUGAAAUGCGCAGAUAUCAGGAGGAACACCGGUGGCGAAGGCGGGUCUCUGGGCCGUAACUGACGCUGAGGAGCGAAAGCGUGGGGAGCGAACAGG
rnacentral:rRNA from 1 species